rnacentral:lncRNA from 1 species
UUACAAUACAGCUGUAACACCGCAAACUCGGCCUAGAAGUUAGGCCAGAAUCUGAUGUGUCACAUUGAAGUGCUUUUCGAAAACCAUGUUUUCAUUGAAAACCCUUCUUAUUUGAAAACUUAAGUAAAAUCCCAGUUACGUUAGUUUAUUUUAUAAAGUGGUACAUUGAAAAGUUAUUAAUUCUAUUCCCAAAAUUUCUUUUAAGUUGCGAAAGCUAAUUUUAAAAGUAACAGAAUCUAAAACAUAAAUAAAUUCCAAAGGCAGUCGUGUGACCAUCUCUAAGUCCCUCUCAG